UUGCAGAAGAGCCGUCGAACGAUCAAGCCAACAACGGACAAAGUCCCGCUGAGGCAUUAAAGAGAGAAAAUCAAGGAAGGCCCUCCAGAGAGGGCUUUCUUUUUCCUUUUUCUUUUCGCCUGUUUUUGUUCUGUGGCGCGGUGUUCCGAAUUUCGGCGGCAUCGGAUACGAACGGACUGUUCGGAAACGUGCAAGUCGGCACAGGAAGGAGUGGAGCGGCUUGAGGAUUGGUAGCUGGGAGCGGUGGCGGACUGGUGUUGCUGGACGGACGCCGCGAAGACCGGAUGGCAGUCAAGUGAGCUAGAUUAAGCAACGUGGGGUCGCACGGAGCGCGACAUGCCCGGCGACAAGAGUUGACAGGGAAUGAAAAGCAUAGGAGAUUAGAGCGGGAUGGGAUGAAAAAGGAAGGAAAAUACACAGAAGUUGUUUGAGUAGCUUUGUAACCAAUUUUCUUCUUUUUAUGAUGAGGUUUGCAUAUAGAAAACCUAAAACAAUGAGUA